GGUAGCCAACAUCUCAGUCCAAAUGGUAGCUGCAGAAGAUAAGCUGGCAAAGAGGAUUCUGGCAAGGAAAAAACAUGGCAAAUUGAAAUUGAAGAAAAAAGAUAACUUGCUGUGGAAUUUUCAAAACAAAAUAAUUCUCUUUACCCUCAUUCUAUUCAUUUUAGGAGUUGUAACCUGGACAUUACUGUGGCUGUUCAUCGUUCAGGCAGAAAACAAAGACGCCCUGUAUUUUGUUGGACUGUUCCGUGUUGCCAACAUAGAAUUUCUCCCAGAAUACAGGCAGAAAGAGUCAAAAGAAUUCCUUUCUGUGGCAAAGAACGUGCAGCAUGUGAUGAACUUGGUCUACACAACCUCUUCUUUCUCCAAAUUUUAUAAGCAGACCACAGUUUCAGAAGUCAGUAACAACAACAAUGGAGGCCUUCUUGUUCAUUUCUGGAUCGUGUUUGUGGUACCACAGGCAAAAGGCCAAGUGCUGUGUGAGGAUUGUGUGGCUGCCAUUUUAAAGGAUUCCAUUCAGACAAGUAUCAUUAACCGGACUUCGGUGGGAAGUCUUCAGGGCCUUGCGGUCGACAUGGACUCUAUUGUAUUAAGUGCAGGUCAUCGGUCAGAUUAUUGGUCAUCAACGGGAACAGGAACAAGUUGUAUGUAUGAUAUGUAUGCUGAUCGUUUACAUGAGCGCUUCCCUCUGGAUAUCCACACUACCUCAGGGUCGACGAUCUGCUAUUUUAAACUGACUGCAUCAGUGGGCCAUCUUAUUCGUCUUUCGAUAGUAUCUCUUCACAUUGAAGCAGAUAACUGCAUCACUGACUCUCUAACCAUUUAUGACUCUCUCAUGCCAAUCACACAUAAGAUACUGUACCGAGCUUGUGAACCAGCUGAUUCACUGGUGUCACUUGUGUCCACAAAUAAUCUCAUGCUGGUAAUGUUUAAGGCAGCACAAAUAAAGGAACGGAAGGAAUUCCAUGGCUAUCUUGAGGUCAUUACACAGGAAAGGUGUGGAAAAGCAAUAGUGACAAAAGAGAAAAUUGGCUAUGAAGGGAGAAUCACAAGUCCCUAUUACCCAAGCUAUUAUCCUCCAAAAUGUUUUUGUGCAUGGAACUUCCAGACUCCACAGAAGAGCCUUGGUAUAGCUCUGAAGUUUCAUAACUAUACCAUCAGUGAGAAGAAUAUUAAAGGCUGUGAACGAGGAUGGUGGAAAAUUAAUGAACACAUGUACUGCGGUUACUAUGUUGAUCACCAAACAGUCUUCCACAUUGCAAGUUCUGCUGUCAGCAUUGAGCUUCAGUGCAGUUCGAAGGUCUCGGAGAAGCCACUUCUGGUGGAGUAUGGCAGCUACAACAUCAGCCAGCCAUGUCCAGCUGGACAUUUCAAGUGUUCUACUGGCUUAUGCAUCCAGCAGAUGCAGCGCUGUGAUGGGAUAAACAACUGCUUCGAUGAAAGCGAUGAACUCUUUUGUGUUGCCCCUGAUUGGAACUGUAACUCCAGCUUCUCAAUACAAGAUAGCCUGCUUGGCUGCAAUGGAGUAAGUGAUUGUGAGAAUGGAAAAGAUGAGCAGAACUGCACCCACAGUAUUCCUUGCACCAGCCACACAUUUCAGUGCAGGAACAACAUCUGCAUUAGGAAGCAAAAUGCAAAGUGUGAUGGGACUGUGGACUGUGUUGAUGGAAGUGAUGAAAGCAGCUGCAGUUGUGGCAGCAGCAAGAGCAGCAAUGCUAUCUCUCGGAUUGUAGGUGGUACGAGCACUGAGGAAGGUGAAUGGCCUUGGCAGGUCAGCCUGCACUUUGUGGGAGCUGCUUACUGUGGGGCAUCAGUGAUAUCAAAAGAGUGGCUUGUGUCUGCAGCACACUGCUUUCAAGGGAGCAAGCUGGCUGACCCCAGAGCCUGGAGCGCUCACCUGGGCAUGCAAAUGCAAGGCCAUGCAAAGUUUGUAUCUGCGGUGAGACGAAUCAUAGUCCAUGAAUACUACAACAGCAGGAACUAUGACUAUGACAUUGCGCUGCUGCAGCUGAGCAAGCCAUGGCCGGACACCAUGAGCCAUGUCAUCCAGCCCAUCUGUGUGCCUCCCUUUUCACACAAAGUCCGCAGUGGUGACAAGUGCUGGAUAACAGGUUGGGGCCAAAAGCAGGAAGCAGGUUUGUUUCUUUGUAGCUUCAGUUCCCAGAUGAUGAAGGUUCAGCAGUUCUUCAGAAAGCAGAGGUAGAAAUUAUUGAUCAAACACUAUGUCAUUCCACAUAUGGGAUUAUCACAGCUAGGAUGUUUUGUGCUGGACUAAUGUCUGGGAAAAGAGAUGGGUGCAAAGGUGAUUCUGGUGGACCAUUGUCAUGUCAAAGCAAUAGAGAUGGAAAAUGGUUUUUGACUGGCAUUGUUAGCUGGGGUUACGGAUGUGGAAGACCAAAUUUCCCAGGUGUCUACACGAGAGUGUCAAAUUUUGCACCAUGGAUUCACAAAUAUGUGCCUUCAGUAUUGUAACUUGAAAACUGUUUUCCUGGAAUAAAACAUGUCUUGGAUAUCUUCAUUAAAAAUCAAAUUUGGUAAUAUUGUUCACUGGUGGAAUUUCUUUGCACUUCUCCCUGGUGAUUCUGGAGUACCUACAUGGAAGUAAAAAGUACCCUUUGUUCAAACUUUGAUGAAAGAGGAAGAGUCUGUUCUUCAUGGUGGUUGUUCUAUGUACAUGUCUGGAGAUGGAGGAGGAGGUGCAAUAAUAAACUUCUGUCACUUUGUGUUCAUUUUACGGGUACCACCUGAGUGCAUGUGCCAUCAUCUGUCAGGAAGAUGAAGAUAGAAUUGACCACCUAGAGACAGAGCUUAAAUCUUGCUCAGUCAUUUCCUCUGAGUUGUGCGUGGCCCAAUAAAGUAGUAACUGUGAAGUAGCAAUCAACUGUUAGUACCCUUGCAAAUACUACUUUCCUUACCUCUUCCACCAAGAAAAGUUGACAAGAGAGGGAGGGAUUGCAGAAA